GAUAAAAUGGCCGAGAAAUAGGCAAUAAAUUGUAAAUUUAUUUACGAAAAUUAAUUUUCUUUUAUCA
rnacentral:tRNA from 1 species